GAUUAGAGUUUGAUCAUGGCUCAGAUUGAACGCUGGCGGCAUGCUUAAUACAUGCAAGUCGAACGGUAACAGGUUCUUCGGAAUGCUGACGAGUGGCGGACGGGGGAGUAAAGCGUAGGAAUCUGCCCAGUAGUGGGGGACAACCAGGGGAAACCCUGGCUAAUACCGCAUACACUCUACGGAGAAAAGGAGGCCUCUUCUUGAAAGCUUUCGCUAUUGGAUGAGCCUGCGUGAGAUUAGCUAGUUGGUAGGGUAAAGGCCUACCAAGGCGACGAUCUCUAGCUGGUCUGAGAGGACGAUCAGCCACACUGGGACUGAGACACGGCCCAGACUCCUACGGGAGGCAGCAGUGGGGAAUAUUGCACAAUGGGCGCAAGCCUGAUGCAGCAAUGCCGCGUGUGUGAAGAAGGCCUUAGGGUUGUAAAGCACUUUCAGUAGGGAGGAAAAGUUAGUCGUUAAUAUUCUUGAAUAUUGACGUUACCAAUAGAAGAAGCACCGGCUAACUCCGUGCCAGCAGCCGCGGUAAUACGGAGGGUGCAAGCGUUAAUCGGAAUUACUGGGCGUAAAGCGCGCGUAGGCGGUUAGUUAAGUUAGAUGUGAAAGCCCCGGGCUUAACCUGGGAACUGCAUUUAAAACUGGCUAACUAGAGUAUGGUAGAGGAGAGUGGAAUUUCAGGUGUAGCGGUGAAAUGCGUAGAUAUCUGAAGGAACACCAGUGGCGAAGGCGGCUCUCUGGACCAAUACUGACGCUGAGGUGCGAAAGCGUGGGUAGCAAACGGGAUUAGAUACCCCGGUAGUCCACGCCGUAAACGAUGUCAAAUAACUGUUGGGAGGGUUUCCCCUUAGUGGUACGCAGCUAACGCGUUAAGCACUCCGCCUGGGGAGUACGGCCGCAAGGUUAAAACUCAAAUGAAUUGACGGGGGCCCGCACAAGCGGUGGAGCAUGUGGUUUAAUUCGAUGCAACGCGAAGAACCUUACCGUGCCUUGACAUCCUCGGGAUUUUGCUGAAAAGCGAAAGUGCCUUCGGGAACCGAGAGACAGGUGCUGCAUGGCUGUCGUCAGCUCGUGUCGUGAGAUGUUGGGUUAAGUCCCGCAACGAGCGCCACCCCUGUCCCUAGUUGCCAGCACGUAAUGGUGGGAACUCUAGGGAGACUGCCGGUGAUAAACCGGAGGAAGGUGGGGAUGACGUCAAGUCAUCAUGGCCGUUAUGGGCUGGGCUACACACGUGCUACAAUGGUCGGUACAGAGGGCCGCAAAGCCGCGAGGUGGAGCAAAUCCCAGAAAGCCGAUCUUAGUCCGGAUCGCAGUCUGCAACUCGACUGCGUGAAGUCGGAAUCGCUAGUAAUCGCGAAUCAGCAACGUCGCGGUGAAUACGUUCCCGGGCCUUGUACACCCCGCCCGUCACACCAUGGGAGUGGGUUGUACCAGAAGUAGGUAGUCUAACCGCAAGGAGGACGCUUACCACGGUAUGGUUCAUGACUGGGGUGAAGUCGUAACAAGGUAACCGUAAAU
rnacentral:rRNA from 1 species